AGAGAGAAGCUUGCUUCUCUUGAGAGCGGCGGACGGGUGAGUAAUGCCUAGGAAUCUGCCUGGUAGUGGGGGAUAACGUUCGGAAACGGACGCUAAUACCGCAUACGUCCUACGGGAGAAAGCAGGGGACCUUCGGGCCUUGCGCUAUCAGAUGAGCCUAGGUCGGAUUAGCUAGUUGGUGGGGUAAUGGCUCACCAAGGCGACGAUCCGUAACUGGUCUGAGAGGAUGAUCAGUCACACUGGAACUGAGACACGGUCCAGACUCCUACGGGAGGCAGCAGUGGGGAAUAUUGGACAAUGGGCGAAAGCCUGAUCCAGCCAUGCCGCGUGUGUGAAGAAGGUCUUCGGAUUGUAAAGCACUUUAAGUUGGGAGGAAGGGCA
rnacentral:rRNA from 1 species